rnacentral:rRNA from 1 species
UACGUAGGGUGCAAGCGUUAAUCGGAAUUACUGGGCGUAAAGCGCGCGUAGGCGGCUUUGCAAGUCGGGUGUGAAAUCCCCAGGCUUAACCUGGGAACUGCAUUCGAGACUGCAUUGCUAGAGUAUGGGAGAGGGAAGUGGAAUUUCCGGUGUAGCGGUGAAAUGCGUAGAUAUCGGAAGGAACAUCAGUGGCGAAAGCGACUUCCUGGACCAAUACUGACGCUCAUGUGCGAAAAGCGUGGGGAGCAAACAGGG